rnacentral:rRNA from 1 species
GAUGAACGCUAGCGAUAGGCUUAACACAUGCAAGUCGAGGGGCAGCAUGGUCUUAGCUUGCUAAGACUGAUGGCGUCCGGCGCACGGGUGCGUAACGCGUAUGCAACUUGCCUCACAGAGGGGGAUAACCCGUCGAAAGACGGACUAAUACCGCGUACACUCCAUCUUGGGCAUCCAAGGUAGAGGAAAUGAAAUUCGCUGUGAGAUAGGCAUGCGUCCCAUUAGCUAGUUGGUGGGGUAACGGCUCACCAAGGCGACGAUGGGUAGGGGAACUGAGAGGUUGAACCCCCACACUGGUACUGAGACACGGACCAGACUCCUACGGGAGGCAGCAGUGAGGAAUAUUGGUCAAUGGGCGAGAGCCUGAACCGCCAAGUCGCGUGAAGGAUGACUGUCUUAUGGAUUGUAAACUUCUUUUAUACGGGAAUAACAAGAGUCACGUGUGACUCCCUGCAUGUACCGUAUGAAUAAGCAUCGGCUAACUCCGUG